rnacentral:rRNA from 1 species
AGGACGAACGCUGGCGGCGUGCUUAACACAUGCAAGUCGAACGAAGCUCUCACACUCGAGUUUCGGACAAGAGAGUGAGAUGACUUAGUGGCGGACUGGUGAGUAACGCGUGAGCAACCUGCCCUCCGGUGGGGGACAACAGCUGGAAACGGCUGCUAAUACCGCAUGAUGUGUAUGGACCGCAUGAUCUGUACACCAAAGCUUUAUGUGCCGGAGGAUGGGCUCGCGUCUGAUUAGGUAGUUGGUGGGGUAACGGCCUACCCAAGCCGACGAUCAGUAGCCGGACUGAGAGGUUGAACGGCCACAUUGGGACUGAGAUACGGCCCAGACUCCUACGGGAGGCAGCAGUGGGGAAUAUUGGGCAAUGGACGAAAGUUCCUGACCCAGCAACGCCGCGUGAAGGAAGAAGGUCUUCGGAUUGUAAACUUCUUUGACAGAGGACGAUAAUGACGGUACUCUGAAAACAAGCCACGGCUAACUACGUGCCAGCCGCUGC